rnacentral:rRNA from 1 species
GACAGAGGGUGCAAACGUUGUUCGGAAUUACUGGGCGUAAAGCGCGUGUAGGCGGCAGCGUGUGUCGGGCGUGAAAUCCCACGGCUCAACCGUGGAAGUGCACCCGAAACUGCGCAGCUAGAGUCCUGGAGAGGAAGGUGGAAUUCCCGGUGUAGAGGUGAAAUUCGUAGAUAUCGGGAGGAACACCGGUGGCGAAGGCGGCGACCUGGGUAGAUACUGACGCUGAGGUGCGAAAGCGUGGGGAGCAAACAGG